GUGGAGAUUGGAAUUCAGAUAAUACAUUUACAUAGUAGUACAUUCUUACGACCAACAAAAAAAAGACAAAAGUUCAGGAUUUUCGAAAUCUCCUGUCAAUGUCGAGUUUUUUUCCACGAAAUCUCGUGAUUUUUGUCGAUAAGAAGCAGUUGCUGUACCAUUAUGUCGUAGCAGACAACAGUCGACAUUGAGUCAAAACGAGUCUAAAUUGCACGGUAUUCACAUCGUUUAACUUCCACUUCGUUUUUCAAUGGCCGUUGAAAAAAAAAACGAUUAAGACACGUGCUCUAGACGUACAGACCCCAAUUCCAAAAACGUAAAAAUGAUGCCAGUUAUUAAACGUCAUUACACUUUGAAAAUCAGAGAAUAUAAUUUGGGCGCUCUUUUCAUGUAGAGCAACAACAACAAAAGCGGCCGUGCGCUGAUCAAUGCAUCACCUGGCCAUACAGUACAUACCAAAUCCUGAAGCUGAUGUUCCAAACGAAUUCCAAAGACGAACAAGUUUCUUUCAGAUGCACGCACAGCAUCCAACAAAAAUGCAGCCGACAGCUGGGGUGGCCGUGAAUGUCAGACCGUUAUCCUCAUUGCCAACAAAGGUGGAUUAUUAUUUUUGUGACCAUUUUUCUCGAACGUCCAAGGUUACAACAGCUGCCAUUUUAGUUUGUACUAUUUUUUUUUUUUUCGAAAAGCGUAGAAUUACGAAAUAAAAAAAUAAAAAUACUACAUUCGUUUUAUUACCUAACGCUUUUAAAGUGAGCAUAAUGUUGACAGCCAGACUCGACAGAUUUUCACGGCCAGAUAUGAUAAUUCGUUGGCCGUUUCUCCAAUGACUGAAACAUGUAGAGAUUUUCCGAAGGCUGUGACUGAGUGACAAAUGUCAAGGGAAACAAGUUCACGCAAGACUGGGUACACACGUCAUCCAUAAUUCCGCCAUGUUUGUUUUUUUAAAGAAACAAAUCUUGAGCGACGCCGCCAGAUAUGGACUCAAAUCCUCUUCGUCAUCCCAAUGUUUUUUGUUGUUUUGUUUUUUUUAAUGAAUUAUUUAUGGAUUACCAAAUUUUGAACAUCUGACAUUGGGAUUAAAAGUUUUUCCUCAACGACACACCUGAUGAACCACGAACUUUGUGCGACUAUCGAAUGCAAAUCAUUCCCCUUAUUUAAAUCAGGGAAAAAAAAAAGCGUGAACAAGUGAAUCUUUCAAAAUGUCAAUAUAAUAACGUUAUUCGUGUUUUCAUUCAUGUUUAAUGUAUAAUAUGUUAUGCCGAGACAGGAGAAAAAGAACAACACAACUUUCUUUCUUUUUUAGUUGUUUUACAUCGCGAUUGACACACACACACACACACACGAUUAUCAUAUACCGGCGAUCUUCGAACACGCGCACCGUUUUAUCAUCAUCAAAUUUGUUUUUGCUUUUCUGUUUAAAAUUAAAAAAGUUGUACACAUCCAAAUUAAAAAAACAAACAAACCAAAGGUAAAAAUGUGUGUUUUUUUUCUCGUGUCUUAUAUAAAAAAGGAAGGAAGGAGAACACAUCAGCACCGUAAAGAGAAACACACUGGACACAGAGAGAGAGACACACAACACACAAAACGAUACACGUGUUACAUGUAUAGCAAUAGAGCACUUCCGGAUGAAUAUAAUUAUAUGUAUAUAUGUAUAUCAUAAACGGUCGUGUGCGUAUAUAAAAUAGGAGAAUUGAAAGCACCUCACAUACAAAAAACACACACACAACAAGGCAAACCAUUUUUAUGUUUGGUUUUCUCUCCUUUUUUUCUUCUUCUUAUCAGUGACAAAAUUUCGAUGGAAAAUCGUUUAUAAAAAACAAACAAACGAAUUAAAGCAACAAAUGAAACAAUUCAAAGGCUCUUUGGGGUUUUUUUCUUACAACAGAAAUGAGCCUGAUGAGAGAAGAUAAACGAAUUCGAAAGAAAAUCGGGAAAAAAGAAAUCCCCGUUUCUUUUGUGCACCAAAAAAAAAAAAAAUCCUGAUGGAAACGACAAUUUGAGAGACGUGAAAAAAAAAAUCAGAGUAAACAAUAGGGGGGGUUAUAUAAUAUUGCCACAUUUUUUUUUCUCUUUCAAAUAAGAGAGGCAAAAGGAGGGAUACAUGUUUUGCCAGGAAGGGGAAACAAAAACGACAAAGGUCGUGUCAUAAUCAAAGACGGAAUAAGUAUAACCGAAAAAAAAAAAUAACAAUUAUCUAAUUUUUCCCCUCCCUGUGUUCGUGUUUUUGUAUGUGUGCGUAUGCGGAAAAGAAAAUGGCGUUCACAGAUUUGUUACAAGUCACACACA